AUAGAUAAAGACUGAAGUCGUCUCAAAUCAUGAAGUUAUUCCCCAAUUCAAUCAAAAUAUUGUUUUCUCUCUCUCUCCAUAAAAACAAAUAGUAUUUUUGAUUUAGCUUUACUGAUGGUUACGACUAGAAUUUGUCUUUGUUUGGAUAUGAAACUGAUUUUAUCAGUGAAGCCUAGAGUAUUCUAGGCUUUU
rnacentral:sRNA from 21 species